GAAGGAAGGGCGCUCGCGAGAUUGAUCGUGCGCGUGUACAAGCACGUACGUGUGCGUGCGAGCGACCGAGCUUAACCUACCUGUCCGUUCCCGCGAAUGCGAGUUGAUGCGAGCUGUGCGCUAUGAAAACUGCGCGCUCGCUGGUGCAUGAAUAGUGUAUGAGUCGACUGGACGGUGCCGAUCUGAGGGAUCUCUUAUGGAGGAUAGUCGAGUGUGACGAUAGCUGGCAACGUGCGGAGCUCCACAAGGUGGCACCGGAUAUAACGCCAAGGUUCUUCCACCAAUGUCUACAUUGGCACAUCUCUAGUAGCUUUAUUUAAUUACAAUCAAUCAUAAUGCUAAUCACAUAGCGUAUACUGGGCUAUAAACCAUACUUGGUCACAAAUCUCCCAAUAGACUGCGCUGCGCAGCAUAGAAAAUUCAACUAGGAUAUUUAAAAUAUUUAAUGUCUAGUGCACAUUUCAACGUCAUCUUUCAACUUUUCUUCCGCAUCGAGAAAUAUUGUAUUCCUCACAACAACGAGACCAAAAGCUCCAUCAAUUAAUUUCUCCAUCCAUUGAAGAUGACCAGCAGACUCGAGGAAACAGAGCAUAAAUGGACUUGCGAAUACUGCACUUAUGAGAAUUGGCCCUCUUCUUUAAAAUGCACCAUGUGCAGAGGUGCCAAGCCUCUCCUGGGCGAAGAUAUUUAUCGUCUUCGAGAUCCUAGCCCUCAAAGAGGUUCCUCCAAUGUUGCUUCAGGUCCAGUAUCUCAGAUAAGUCCUACGGAUAAUUUCACCUCGCAAAAUUAUAGCCAGAAUCUGCCUUCGGCGGGAAAGUGGGCUUGCAGCAUGUGCACUUAUCUUAAUUAUCAAAAUACAACGCGGUGCGUACAGUGCAGCAACCGGAAGUCGGUCAAUCAGUCUGUCAAUUCAUUAGCAUCGAAUCUUCAUGAACAUUUAGCACCACUGCGAUUGGCCGAUGGACCACCAAACUCGGGAUCGAAUUCCCAAUUGAAUCCCUCGCCGAUUAAUCUCCAUCCGGAAAGAUUGUACAAUAUGCAUCCAGAAAAAUGGUCCUGUCAUGUAUGUACUUACGAGAACUGGCCCAAGGCAACUAAAUGCGUAAUGUGCGGUCAUCCGAAGGAGAAAGAUAGAAGGGAUAAGGGAACACACGGAAAUGUAGGAGUGAUUUUACCAAGUCCCGAGAGAGAACAUAGUCAACGAGGUUUACCAUCGCCCCCACAUGCACCCUAUAUUCAUCAGACACAAAGAGAGGAUAAUUUAGCGAUAGGAAGGAGAGGCCCACAUAGGUAUGCAGAAAACCGAAAUGAUUUGUCAACUCCUCAAUCUCCGAAUAACUGUGAUUAUGAACGUCGAUUGAAGCAGUUAAGACGCCACACUGAUUGGUGUUGGUUAAACGCUUGUCUUGGUAUUGUAGAAGGUGACAACACUCCUGUUGAAGCUUACCUGGCAAGCGGUGGCGAUCCUGCCCGCCAAUUGACGCAUUCUGAGGUCUUACUCCUCAAUAGAAGCAGCGCGUUUGACGUUGGGCACACUUUGGUGCACUUGGCUAUUAGGUUUCAAAGGGAAGAUAUUUUAGCAACAUUGCUGUCACAAAUUGAAGGUUCAGGUUCAGGGGUGAAAAGAGUACCAAGUUACGUCGCACCUGAUCUCGCGGUACAGAUUCGCCGGCAUGUCACCAACAGUAUACGCUUACGCAAGGGCUCAUUUCCCUGUUAUUUCGUUACCGAUAUGGCUACCUUCGCAUUGCCAGCCGAGGUUGAAGAUCUGCCGAGUAUUGUACAAGAGCAGAUGCUAGAGGAAUUGUUAGAUAAGGAAGCUCAACAGCAAUUGGAAGGCGGUGGUGGCGAACCGCCAGCUCUAAAUUGGUCUUUAGAAAUUACUGAACGAUUAGGUAGUCGUUUACACGCACUCUGGAACCGAUCGGCCGGAGAUUGUCUUCUAGAUUCUGCUAUGCAGGCUACUUGGGGUGUUUUCGAUAGGGACAAUGCUCUAAGGAGAGCGCUUGCUGACACUCUACAACAAGCUGGACAAUUCUUUUAUCCUCGUUGGAGAGAGUAUGAAGCCUCGCAAGCAUCUAGGAUGUUAGAUUUCACUUUAGAAGAAACACAAUGGCAAGAAGACUGGGAAAGCUUGUUAGCAACGGCCGCUCAACCCGGAAGCGCGUUAGAACAAUUGCACGUGUUUGCCCUUGCCCACAUUUUAAGACGACCCAUUAUAGUCUAUGGAGUUAAAUAUGUUAAAAGUUUUCGUGGUGAAGAUAUAGGUUAUGCAAGAUUCGAGGGCGUUUAUCUACCACUAUUAUGGGAACCCUCAUUUUGCAUCCGUUCACCAAUUGCAUUGGGUUAUACCCGUGGCCAUUUCACGGCGUUGGUUCCAAUCGAGCCAUAUGCCUCGUCCAGAAUACCGCCCCUCGCGACCCAUGGGGUAGUGAGCGGGAACAACAGUCCACUCGAGCAGCUACAGAUUCAAAUGCAGACCACCUUUAUGCCACUAAUGGAUCGCGAGCAUAAGCUUCUACCAAUACACUUUCUUACGACGGAUGAAAUCGGUCGUGAGGAAUCAAUCUAUAAAGAAUGGUUGGAUGUAUGCAGAACAGAGGGCGGAAUACUUGUAGCACAGCAGAAACUUCACAAAAGACCGUUGCUCGUUGCGCAGAUGUUGGAAGAGUGGUUGAAUCAUUAUCGUAGAUUAGCUCAAACUAACGAGGCACCCUUCUCGAGACCACCCACAUUACAGGAUUAUAGUAGCGACGGUGAUACCGAAGAUGAGUAGUGCAGUAAUUUUAAGAAAGAAGUGUUGCGACUGACAUGAGAAGCAUCUCCAUUUCUCACAAGUUUAUUCUCGACCGAAAAUUAUAAAAUGAAAAAAUAAACUCUUUAUGACGAAGGUUGUAUACUUUUGUUACGAAGUUUUCGACUGAAUUCACCGAAAUUAUAUCGGUUUCUGGAUCCCUAAUUUUCGAAGGGGACAAAUAGGUAUAAGUCAAUUGCAUAGUGUUCUGUCUGCGGCAGAAGCGAGGCUUAUCGCUCUAUUAUUGUAAUUGUUAAUAUUAUAUACAUCGACAAUCGUUCUUGUUAUGAUCAUUAUUACGAUCAUUGAUAUAGCAUAAUUCUGUGACUUACAAGGCCCAUUUUUAAGUACGAAAUUGUAUCUUUAGUAUGAGUUCUGUAAGUUUAGACUAUAUUUACUGUAAAUCUUUUUAUUGUAAAAAUGCGAUAAUGCUGGCUUCUGCGUAAAAAAAAAGAAAUGAAAGUAAAGAGUUUUCUCCCCAUUAAUCUUCGAUAUUAAUUGUUAUUAAUAAAAUCAGUUUUUUUAACGUAUUUAUCAUUAG